AUAAGGUUGUACAACUGCAAAAAUUGUUCCACGUCAUUUGAUGGAGGCCGCAUCUGAGCUACACGUGUUAGUUGAUCACACAAAAAGGAGAUGACAACAUCAAGGAGGAGGCUGAAAUUAAAGAACCUCCUGUCACGAGGAUACAAACAUCCAUGCCACCACCACCACCACCACCACCAGUCUUCAG